ensembl:lncRNA
ACUGAUUGGCGUGUCUAAAGUGUCCGUAGUGUAUGAAUGGGUGUGUGAGUGUGUAUGUGAUUGUGCCCUGCGAUGGAUUGGCACCCUGUCCAGGGUGUACCCCGCCUUGUGACCCAUGCUCCCUGGGAUAGGCUCCAGAUUUUUGGAAUUGAUCCACACAGGGUCACGGUCACAGCACAGUCAAAUGUCAUAGUUUUUCCUCAAUGGCUUCCUUCCUAAAUUUUAAGGGUAUUGCAAGAAGGAUUAAAAGUGGAGGAAUUCUUGUCCGCCCCAUCGCGAGUGUUGAGUUCGUCUUGUUUCAUAAAUGACAUUAGUGCACGUUUAAGCGGUUUCAAAACAGACCUCCAUACCUACCUGUUCACCAGACAGCCAGGGAACGCUCACUUCAUGAUCUGAUCUGCGUGCCAGGCUGAAAGAAAGGUCUUCAUGUGCGGUUUCUUUGUACCUUGAGGGACGACGGAUCCAGUCGAGCCAUGCUAGAGGUUUCGAAGGCGCAUGGUGCAGAGUGUGGUGUGACGAGCACCUUCAGGUAGGUGGGGCUCCAUUUUUAGCUUCAGUGUUCCAAAUCUGAUGUGGGGGGGCGUAGCUAUGGGGUGAUGUGGGAGAGAUUGAAUCAAUUACAAGUGUCCGCUGGCAUGCAGGGGGCAAACGUGGCGGGAGUGAGUUGAGCUAGCCCAAUCUCGAGAUGACAAAGGACUGAAGAAGCACCUGAGAGGCUUCAGUUGAUAGAAAUGUCCAGAUCCUCCUGAUCUAAAGCAGAAACCUGCAGGACUGAGUCUGGUUACUAGUGUGAUUAAAGGAUCGGUGGUUGUCCAGAAUUACCCCGAUGAUGUGUGCAUUGCUAGAUAGGGAUGCAUCUCCAGGGAAGCUCAGUCUUGUUGGUUGUUGGGGUUUAUUUUCAGCUGUAGACCCACCCGCCAUGUUCGCCAUAGCAUACCGAGAUCCGAGCAGAAAUGAGCCGCGUCUGAGGGAAGAAAAACUCCUAUCCCCCAUGAUGCCGUGUGAACGUGCACAAGUGCUCGGCUUUAUACUAAACCAUGUUGCUCUUAACUUGUUACUAAAACGUCCUUUUCUAUUUUUGGUGUGUGGUUUGUGCAUGUGCCGCAUCUGAGAGACCAUCCAAUAAUUACUAAACGGGUGUGCGCGCGCGCACGUGCGCGAACAUUGAUUUAUUUAUUUAUUUUACCUUCAUUAAGAGUGUCAUCUUUCAUUUUCCCCUCUCAGAAUUCCACCACAGAUGUUUAUCAUGAUGGCCUAAGACACACAUUUGACACAUUCCACAGCGUAGAUAGCUGCCGAGAUGAUUGAUAUCUGGGCCCGAGGCAAACCUACACACGCGCGCGCAUGCUCUCGAUCUGAUGAAUAUGCAGAAAUACCGAUGGGAUAACUUUCAGAUACGUGCAUGAAAAUCUGGAUUUGAAAUAUAAGACUAUAUUAAAAAAGAAAAACGAGGUCGUGGAAAGAUUAUUAUCUGUAUAAUGCGAUGGUGAAUUGGUCGUCUGAUCGGAGCCGGCUCGUUUAGGUGAACCUGGGAGUGUGAGCAUGAUGCCUUUUGCUAGACCGGCAUCCCAUGCGAGGUGUAUUCCCGCUUCCCAAACGGUGUUCCCCAGAUCUUUCGCAACUUUGACCUGGAUAAGGCGGUCACUGACAAUGACUGAAUAAAUGAAUGACUAUAUAGCUCCUUUAUAGUUUUACAUUUAUUUAAAAAAAAAAAAGAUUUCAUACGCAACUCAAUGGUUAAUGGUUUCCACUUCACACACCAUUACUAACCGUCAGCUAACUAUUAAAACCAUUACCGUUAUUGGUGCUUAAUGGUAUCCACUAGACAUAAUAUGCCACCAAUAGAAGGUAACAAAUUACCAUUUGAGGCCCACAGGGACCAUUACAGUUUCCAAUAAAAUCCAAUACAAUUCCCAUUAAAACCAUUACAAAUUCUAUGCAGGUUUCUAUUGUUUUGUUUGAUUCAUUAACAAAAACACACAAAUUCUGUAUUUUCAAGUACCAAAUGCUGUAUUUUAUGCUGGCAACCGUAAUUUUGAUGCACUUUCAGGCGUUUAUGUUUUGGGUUAUUUUGUAUUCGUGAUCAAAAUGUACGUCCUGUUGUAUUUUCCCCACCAGUCUCAGUCAGUAGGAAUGACUGGCUACUUCAACUGCUCAAAACCUGAGUUAAAUUCAUUCAUUCAUUCAUUCAUUCAUUCAUUCAACUUUAAAUCAAGUUGCAGAAAUUGACCUUGGAUGCACCAUGUACACACACACACACACACACACACACACAC